rnacentral:rRNA from 1 species
AGAGUUUGAUCCCUGGCUCAGGACGAACGCUGGCGGCGUGCCUAAUACAUGCAAGUCGAGCGAAUUUACGAGAGCUUGCUCUNGUAAAUUAGCGGCGGACGGGUGAGUNACACGUGGGCAACCUGCCUAUAAGACUGGGAUAACUUCGGGAAACCGGAGCUAAUACCGGAUAAUUCACAUCUACUCAUGUAGAUGUGCUGAAAGACGGUUUACGCUGUCACUUAUAGAUGGGCCCGCGGCGCAUUAGCUAGUUGGUGAGGUAACGGCUCACCAAGGCCACGAUGCGUAGCCGACCUGAGAGGGUGAUCGGCCACACUGGGACUGAGACACGGCCCAGACUCCUACGGGAGGCAGCAGUAGGGAAUNUUCCGCAAUGGACGAAAGUCUGACGGAGCAACGCCGCGUGAGUGAUGAAGGUUUUCGGAUCGUAAAACUCCUGUUGUUAGGGAAGAACAAGUAUUUGGAGUAACUGGNCCCACGU